rnacentral:lncRNA from 1 species
AUGAAUCAUCUUAUCAUCAUAUACUACAUGUAUCUAAAAAUGAAACAUCUAAUCAUCACAUACUACAUGUAUCUAAACAUGAAUCAUCUUAUCAUCAUACACUACAUGUAUCUAAACAUGAAACAUCUUAUCAUAUACUACAUGUAUCUAAACAUGAAACAUCUUAUAAUAUACUACAUGUAUCUAAACAUGAAACAUCUUAUCAUAUACUACAUGUACCUAAACAUGAAACAUCUUAUCAUCAUAUACUACAUGUAUCUAAAAAUGAAACAUCUAAUCAUCAUAUACUACAUGUAUCUAAACAUGAAUCAUCUUAUCAUCAUACACUACAUGUAUCUAAACAUGAAACAUCUAAUCAUCAUAUACUACAUGUAUCUAAACAUGAAUCAUCUUAUCAUACACUACAUGUAUCUAAACAUGAAACAUCUUAUAAUAUACUACAUGUAUCUAAACAUGAAACAGCUUAUCAUAUACUACAUAUAUCUAAACAUGAAACAUCUUAUCAUCAUAUACUACAUGUAUCUAAACAUCAAACAUCUUAUCAUCAUGUAUCUAAACAUUAAACAUCUUAUCAUCAUGUAUCUAAACAUGAAUCAUCUUAUCAUAUACUACAUGUAUCUAAACAUGAAACAUCUUAUCAUAUACUACAUGUAUCUAAACAUGAAACAUCUUAUCAUAUACUACAUGUAUCUAAACAUGAAACAUCUUAUCAUCUCAUACUACUACAUGUAUCUAAACAUGAAACAUCUUAUCAUAUACUACAUGUAUCUAAACAUGAAACAUCUUAUCAUCAUAUACUACAUGUAUCUAAACAUGAAAAAUCUUAUCAUCAUAUACUACAUGUAUCCAAAUAUGAAACAUCUUAUCAUAUACUACAUGUAUCUAAACAUGAAACAUCUAAUCAUCAUAUACUACAUGUAUCUAAACAUGAAACAUCUUAUCAUCAUAUACUACAUGUAUCUAAACAUGAAACAUCUUAUCAUCAUAUAUCUAAACAUGAAACAUCUUAUCAUCAUGUAUCUAAACAUGAAACAUCUUAUCAUGAAACAUCUUAUCAUCAUGUAUCUAAACAUUAAACAUCUUAUCAUCAUAUACUACAUGUAUCUAAUAAUGAAACAUCUUAUCAUAUACUACAUGUAUCUAAACAUUAAACAUCUUAUCAUCAUGUAUCUAAACAUUAAGCAUCUUAUUAUCAUGUAUCUAUACAUUAAACAUCUUAUCGUCAUAUACUACAUGUAUCUAAACAUGAAACAUCUUAUCAUCAUGUAUAUAAACAUGAAACAUCUUAUCAUGAAACAUCUUAUCAUCAUGUAUCUAAACAUUAAACAUCUUAUCAUCAUAUACUACAUGUAUCUAAACAUGAAACAUCUUAUCAUAUACUACCUGUAUCUAAACAUUAAACAUCUUAUCAUCAUGUAUCUAAACAUUAAACAUCUUAUCAUCAUAUACUACAUGUAUCUUAACAUUAAACAUCUUAACAUGUAUCUAAACAUUAAACAUCUUAUCAUCAUAUACUACAUGUAUCUAAACAUUAAACAUCUUAUCAUCAUGUAUCUAAACAUUAAACAUCUUAUUAUCAUGUAUCUAAACAUCAAACAUCUUAUCAUCAUAUACUACAUGUAUCUAAACAUUAAACAUCUUAUCAUAUACUACAUGUAUCUAAACAUGAAACAUCUUAUCAUCAUAUACUACAUGUAUCUAAACAUGAAACAUCUUAUCAUCAUAUACUACAUGUAUCGGUAACACUUUAGAAUAACCCUCCUUAAUAAACCGUUUAUGAAGCAUUUGUUGAUAGUCUGU